CUAACACAUGCAAGUCGAGGGAGAAGCCCUUUCGGGGGCAGAAACCGGCGCACGGGUGCGUAACGCGUAUGCAACCUACCUUUCACAGGGGGAUAGCCCGAAGAAAUUUGGAUUAAUACCCCAUAAUAUUAUUGGAUGGCAUCAUUUGAUAAUUAAAACUGCGGUGGUGAAAGAUGGGCAUGCGUCCUAUUAGCUAGUUGGAGUGGUAACGGCACCCCAAGGCUACGAUAGGUAGGGGUCCUGAGAGGGAGAUCCCCCACACUGGUACUGAGACAGGGACCAGACUCCUACGGGAGGCAGCAGUGAGGAAUAUUGGUCAAUGGUCGGAAGACUGAACCAGCCAUGCCGCGUGCAGGAAGAAUGCCUUAUGGGUUGUAAACUGCUUUUAUAUGGGAAGAAUAAGGUGUACGUGUACAUUGAUGACGGUACCAUAUGAAUAAGCAUCGGCUAACUCCGUGCCAGCAGCCGCGGUAAUACGGAGGAUGCGAGCGUUAUCCGGAAUCAUUGGGUUUAAAGGGUCCGUAGGCGGGCUGAUAAGUCAGAGGUGAAAGCGCUUAGCUCAACUAAGCAACUGCCUUUGAAACUGUCAGUCUUGAAUGAUUGUGAAGUAGUUGGAAUGUGUAGUGUAGCGGUGAAAUGCUUAGAUAUUACACAGAACACCGAUAGCGAAGGCAUAUUACUAACAAUUUAUUGACGCUGAUGGACGAAAGCGUGGGGAGCGAACAGGAUUAGAUACCCUGGUAGUCCACGCUGUAAACGAUGGAUACUAGCUGUUUGGAGCAAUCUGAGUGGCUAAGCGAAAGUGAUAAGUAUCCCACCUGGGGAGUACGCACGCAAGUGUGAAACUCAAAGGAAUUGACGGGGGCCCGCACAAGCGGUGGAGCAUGUGGUUUAA
rnacentral:rRNA from 1 species